CGCACGGGUGAGUAAUAUAUAGAUAACGUGCCUCUUAGUCUGGGAUAGCCAUUGGAAACGAUGAUUAAUACUAGAUACUCCUUCUUAUUAUAAUGUAAGUUGGGAAAGUUUUUCGCUAAGAGAUCGGUCUAUAUCCCAUCAGCUUGUUGGUAGUGUAAGAGACUACCAAGGCAAUGACGGGUAGCGGGUUUGAGAGGAUGAUCCGCCACACUGGUACUGGGACACGGACCAG
rnacentral:rRNA from 1 species